UCAUGAAUCUUCUGGCUCCUGCAUCCUUUUUAAGGGGGGCAGGCAGGCGGGUGGAGAGAGUGCUGCAUCUUGGCUGCUCUGUAAUAACAUGGAUAGCUUGAUGGUCAACAAUUAUUUGCUUUCUGAAAUGACAUACACUGCCCAUGUCAUAGUCCAGCAGGUCAAAAUUUCCAGUUUCUCUGGGAAGGUUGAGAGAAUGCUGUGGAUUCCCACUGCCACAUCAUAUGAGCGGAACAAAACCAAAAUGAAAACAGAAUCUUUUCUCAACACUCUGGACAUGAAAAGGAAGGGGAGAAAUGGGCAGGCCUCCAUACCCACACUU